rnacentral:rRNA from 1 species
CGGCCGCGGUAUCUUGACCGUGCAAAGGUAGCAUAAUCACUUGUCUCUUAAAUGGGGACCCGUAUGAAUGGCUUUUCAUCCUUUAACUGUCUCCCUUUUUUUCCACACAAACUUCUAUUUACGUGAAGAAGCGUACUUCAGAGAGAAAGACGAGAAGACCCUGUCGAGCUUUAGCCUACCCUACUCAAUUACACUCACCCUUCCCCAGGAAAAAACCUCUGUAGGCCAGGCUUUGGUUGGGGCAACCAUGGAGAAAAAACAUCCUCCAGUUUUCUAGGAAGAGAAUCAACUCUCCUUCCCCAUUUUUGAGAACCAAUACUUUUGGAAAACGGAAAAAGUUACCGCAGGGAUAACAGCGUUAUCUUUUCUAAGAGCCCUUAUUGACGAAAAGGAUUGCGACCUCGAUGUUGGAUUGGGGUAACCAAAGGGUGCAGCAGCUCU